rnacentral:rRNA from 1 species
GACGAACGCUGGCGGCGUGCUUAACACAUGCAAGUCGAACGGAAAGGCCCUGCUUUUGUGGGGUGCUCGAGUGGCGAACGGGUGAGUAACACGAGAGUAACCUGCCCUUGACUCUGGGAUAACUUCAGGAAACUGGGGCUAAUACCGGAUAGGAGCUCCUGCUGCAUGGAGGGGGCUGGAAAGUUUCGGCGGUCGGGGAUGGACUCGCGGCUUAUCAGCUUGUCGGUGGGGUAGUGGCUUACCAAGGCUUUGACGGGUAGCCGGCCUGAGAGGGUGGCCGGCCUCAUUGGGACCGAGAUACUGCCCUCACUCCUCCGGGAGGCAUCAGUGGAGACUGUUGCACAAUGCACGGAAGCCAGCUGCAGCAACUCCCCCUGCGGGAUGGCGGCCUUCGGGUUGUACACCGCUUUCGCCUGUGCCGAAGCGUGAGUGACGGUUAUGGGUAUAGAAGCACCGGCUAACUACGUG